AUAACCUACGGGGGGCAGCAGUGGGGAAUCUUGGACAAUGGGCGCAAGCCUGAUCCAUCUAUUCCGCGUGUGGGAUGAAGGCCCUCGGGUUGUAAACCACUUUUGUAGAGAACGAAAAGACACCUUCGAAUAAAGGGUGUUGCUGACGGUACUCUAAGAAUAAGCACCGGCUAACUACGUGCCAGCAGCCGCGGUAAUACGUAGGGUGCGAGCGUUAAUCGGAAUUACUGGGCGUAAAGGGUGCGCAGGCGGUUGAGUAAGACAGAUGUUAAAACCCC
rnacentral:rRNA from 1 species